UGGGGAAUUUUGCACAAUGGGGGAAACCCUGAUGCAGCGACGCCGCGUGAUUUAGAAGGCCUUCGGGUUGUAAAAAUCUUUUCUAUGGGAAGAAAAUGACAGUACCAUAGGAAUAAGGACCGGCUAAUUACGUGCCAGCAGCCGCGGUAAUACGUAAGGUCCGAGCGUUGUCCGGAAUCAUUGGGCGUAAAGGGUACGUAGGCGGGUAAGCAAGUUAGAAGUGAAAUCCUAUAGCUCAACUAUAGUAAGCUUUUAAAACUGCUCAUCUUGAGGUAUGGAAGGGAAAGUGGAAUUCCUAGUGUAGCGGUGAACUGCACAGAUAUUAGAAGGAAUACCGGUGGCGAAGGCGACUUUGUGACCAUAACCUGACGCUAAGGUACGAAAGCGUGGGUAGCAAACAGG
rnacentral:rRNA from 1 species